CAAUGUCUAAGUUAGUUUGAUUGGAUCUUGAUGAAGAUACGACAAUAGCUAAAGUGGAUGAAAUUUUCUAUCACGGGGAGAGCCAGGUGGCCGAAACCGUGUGUGGUGGCACUUAACUAUGUGGGAGAGAUGAGAAAGAUAGUGGCGGCAAGAGAGGAUUUUAGGGUUAAAAAAAUUUACCUUGAAUGCCUUGUGUAGCCAUGUAUUUAUAAGCUCUUUGUGUGUUAGGUUUUUAGGAGAAUAAUCCUUAUUUGGUUAGGAUUAUUCUUACCCAAAAAGAUAGGAAUUAUUGCAAGAGGUUUGGUGGAAAUUGGUUCCUUGACUUAGGGAUAUAUUCCUAUCUUGAAUCAAAGAUAAUUUUCUUAAUUAGGAUAAUUAGUUGACCUAAGAAAUAUUCUUUUUCCAUGUGUCGUCUCCUUAUUGGCCGGCGUAAUAUGUGUUCCCGCACAAUUCAUAUAUAUACUAAAAAGAAAAACUACAAGUCAUAUUAGUGAUUUCCCUCUCUUGGUUACACAUUUCAUUUAUUU
rnacentral:lncRNA from 1 species